rnacentral:rRNA from 1 species
GACGAACGCUGGCGGCGUGCUUAACACAUGCAAGUCGAGCGGUAAGGCCCUUUCGGGGGUACACGAGCGGCGAACGGGUGAGUAACACGUGGGUGACCUGCCUCUAGCUCUGGGAUAAGCCUGGGAAGGCUGGGUCUAAUACCGGAUAUGACCUCGCGGUGCAAUGUUGCGGGGUGGAAAGCCUUGUGCGGCUAGGGAUGGGCCCGCGGCCUAUCAGCUUGUUGGUGGGGUGANGGCCUACCAAGGCGACGACGGGUAGCCGGCCUCGAGAGGGCGACCGGCCACACUGGGACUGAGACACGGCCCAGACUCCUACGGGAGGCAGCAGUGGGGAAUCUUGCGCAAUGGGCGAAAGCCUGACGCAGCGACGCCGCGUGAGGGAUGACGG